AUUGAACGCUGGCGGCAUGCCUUACACAUGCAAGUCGAACGGCAGCACGGGGGGUAACCCCUGGUGGCGAGUGGCGAACGGGUGAGUAAUAUAUCGGAACGUGUCCUGUAGCGGGGGAUAACCUAUCGAAAGAUGGACUAAUACCGCAUACGACCUACGGGUGAAAGCGGAGGACCGCAAGGCUUCGCACUAUAGGAGCGGCCGAUAUCGGAUUAGCUAGUUGGCGGGGUAACGGCCCACCAAGGCGACGAUCCGUAGCUGGUCUGAGAGGACGAUCAGCCACACUGGAACUGAGACACGGUCCAGACUCCUACGGGAGGCAGCAGUGGGGAAUUUUGGACAAUGGGCGCAAGCCUGAUCCAGCCAUGCUGCGUGAGUGAAGAAGGCCUUCGGGUUGUAAAGCUCUUUCGGCGGGGACGAAACGGUUCGUGCUAAUACCACGGACUACUGACGGUACCCGCAGAAGAAGCACCGGCUAACUACGUG
rnacentral:rRNA from 1 species